AGUUGUAUAGGCAUGUCAAAAUGACUUUAUACAGUCAAUAUGAAACAAGCAUUAAAUAUUUUUUCUCAUGUUGUUGCUUUUAUCAUUAUGAAUUCCUUGCUUGUUGCCACCUAAGAUACGAUGGAGCAAGCACAGUCUUAAAGAAGAUUUGCUGAUUUUUUGUUUUUCUCAGCAGACCAGAGACAUCCAUAAAAAUUCAUCAGAGAGCAUUUUACUACUGAGCUGCAAAGGGAAAAACUUAAAAUGGAUAUGAAAAGUGAAGAAAGUGAUCAUAGGAGAAAACCAUUUCAGAUGACAAGAGCACCUCAAAGGCAGCAGCCUCAAGGAGCAGCCAUGGCCCCAGACUUGUCGCACGGAUGCAGAAAACUUAAUGGAGGAGGCUGAGGUCAGAAUGGGAAGAGUUUUUAAAAAAUAAAAAGGGGAGCUAAUAUGUGA
rnacentral:lncRNA from 1 species